rnacentral:tRNA from 1 species
GCCGGCGUAGCUCAGUGGCAGAGCAACCGCUUUGUAAGCGGUAGGCCGUGGGUUCGAAUCCCUCCGCCGGCU